CUUUGAUGUUGGGGAGAGGACCUUCCAACUGAUUGUAGGAUAUAUCAACAACUGUCAGGCUUAUCAGAUCAUCAAACGUGUGUGGGAUGGUGCCAGAGAGCCCGUUAUGGGAGAGAUUCAACGUUUCCAGGUACUGUAAUUCUCCAAGUAGCGGUGGUAUCUCUCCUAUUAGCAUAUUUUGACUAAGAUCGAGACUUUCAAGAUGAUGCAACUUUCCAAUUUCAUCGGGAAUGCUAUCCACAAAUCUAUUCUCGCUCAAGUUGAAGGACCUUAAUUUCCAGAAGUUUCCCAGUUGUUUGGGAAUUGAACCGCUUAUGUUGUUUGAUGCCAAGUCAAGAAUUUCAAGAUUGGAUAAGUUUCCCAAUUCCAAAGGAAUACUACCUGAAAGACUGUUGUUUCCUAAUAACAAUUUGAACAAUAAUGGCAACAUACCCAACUCUUUCAGGAUCUUCCCACUUAGAUGAUUGGCGGAGAGAUCAAGCUGUCGCAGCUGAGUUGCUUUCCCAAGUUGAGGCGGUAUAGCACCAGAAAUAUUGUUGUUGGAGAUGUUCAGGUUUGUGAGCAUGUGGCACUGCCCCCAUUUCUCAGAAAGCUCACCAUAAAAAUUGUUGCUGCUUAGAUCAAUAUAAUUUAGAGUUGGGUACACACCAAAACUUUCGGCUAUGUCCCCUGUCAAUUGAUUUCUUUCAAGCCUAACUCUGAAUAAGCUAGUGCAAUUUUUCAAGCCUUUUGGAAUAGGACCAGUGAAAUGAUUUCCAGAGGCUGUAAAGUUUUCAAGAACACUACCAAGGCAUAUCUCUUGUGGUAGUUGGCCAAUGAAGUUAUUCUCAACUAACUGUAAAGAUUUCAAAUGAGUGAUAUUAUUCAUUUCAAGAGGAAUCGCACCACUAAGCUUGUUGUGAUCAAGGAACAAAAAGGUUAAGCUGGACAAGUUUCCUAUGGAUGGAGGGAUUGGACCACUGAGACUAUUAGCUGCCAAGUCAAGAUCAUAAAGUGAUGUCAACAAUCCAAUUUCUUGAGGGAUGGAACCAGAAAGCUUGUUCUCAAAAAGAUAUAAAGUGGUUAAAUUUCUCAAGUUUCCAAUGGAUGGAGGGAUCGAACCAGUGAGACUAUUAGUUUCCAACUCAAGAUCUAUAAGUGAUGUCAACAAUCCAAUUUCUUGAGGAAUAGAACCAGAUAGUUUGUUUGUAUGAAGGUACAAAGUCGUUAAGUUCCUCAAGUUACCUAUCGAAGGAGGGAUUGGACCGAUGAGAUUGUUAAAUGACAAUUGAAGAUCAUUAAGAGAUCUUAACAAUCCAAUUUCUUGAGGGAUGAAACCAGAAAGCUCGUUCUCAAAAAGAUAUAAAGUGGUUAAAUUUCUCAAGUUUCCAAUGGAUGGAGGGAUCGGACCAGUGAGACUAUUAGUUGCCAACUCAAGAUCAUUAAGUGAUGUCAACAAUCCAAUUUCUUGAGGAAUAGAAUCGGAUAGUUUGUUUGUAUGAAGGUAUAAAGUGGUUAAGUUCCUCAAGUUACCUAUGGAAGGAGGGAUUGGACCAGUGAGAUUGUUAGUUGACAAUUGAAGAUCAUUAAGAGAUUUUAACAAUCCAAUUUCUUGGGGGAUGGAACCAGAAAGCUUAUUCUUGAAAAGAUGCAAAGUGGUUAAGUUCCUUAGGUUUCCUAUGGAAGGAGGGAUUGGACCAGUGAGAUUGUUAGUUGACAAUUCAAGAUCAUUAAGAGAUCUUAACAAUCCAAUUUCUUGAGGGAUGAAACCAGAAAGCUCGUUCUCAAAAAGAUAUAGAGUGGUUAAGUUUCUCAAGUUUCCUAUGGAUGGAGGGAUUGAACCAGUGAGACUAUUAGUUGCCAACUCAAGAUCAUUAAGUGAUGUCAACAAUCCAAUUUCUUGAGGAAUAGAACCAGAUAGUUUGUUAGUAUGAAGGUAUAAAGUGGUUAAGUUCCUCAAGUUACCUAUGGAAUGAGGGAUUGGACCAAUGAGAUUGUUAGUUGACAAUUGAAGAUCAUUAAGAGAUCUUAACAAUCCAAUUUCUUGGGGAAUGAAACCAGAAAGCUUGUUCUUGAAAAGAUGCAAAGUGGUUAAGUUCCUCAAGUUUCCUAUGGAAUGAGGGAUUGGACCUGUGAGAUUGUUAGUUGACAAUUGAAGAUCAUUAAGAGAUCUUAACAAUCCAAUUUCUUGAGGAAUGGAACCAGAAAGCUUGUUCUCAAAAAGAUACAAAGUGGUUAAGUUCCUCAGGUUUCCUAUGGAAGGAGGAAUUGGACCAAUGAGAUUGCUAGUUGACAAUUGAAGAUCAUUAAGAGAUCUUAACAAUCCAAUUUCUUGAGGAAUGGAACCAGAAAGCUUGUUCUCAAAAAAAUGCAAAGUGGUUAAGUUCCUCAAGUUUCCUAUGGAAUGAGGGAUUGGACCAAUAAGAUUGUUAGUUGACAAUUGAAGAUCAUUAAGAGAUCUUAACAAUCCAAUUUCUUGAGGGAUGGAACCAGAAAGCUCAUUCUCAAAAACAUACAAAGUAGUUAAGUUUCUUAAAUUACCUAUGGAAGGAGGAAUUGGGCCUCUAAAAUUAUUAGAAGACAAUGCUAGAACACUAAGAGAUGUUAGAAAUCCAAGUUGGGGAGAUAUUACACCAGUGAAAUGAUUGAAAGCAAAGUUAAGAUUUGUGAUUCGUUUGGAAAGAUUACCAAUGUUGAUUGGAAUGGUUCCAUAAAGGGAGUUGUUAUAAAGAUUAAGAGUGAGAAGGUUAGGGAGUGAUGAGAAAUUGAGAUUGUGGAGUGUACCUCUCAAACCGCAAUUGUCAAGUUCUAAAUUGGAGACACUUCCUGACUUGUGACAAGUUAAUCCAAACCAAUGAUAGCAAGAAUUGCGUCCAGACCAAGAAGAGAGGAAAGAUUGGGUUUGAUUAUCAAGACUGGCUUUCCAUGUUAGAAGAGCGAGUCUUUCUUGAUCUUUUUCAACUUUUGAAAGAGAAGUGGUAGGUGUAGAGGCAGAUAUAGAAGUGACAUGGAAUGAUGAUAUUGAGUAUAGAAGGACAAGGAGAAAUAUGAAGUAGUAAGGAGUGAUAAAGAGUCGAGAGAGUAAGGAGUAGGAUGAAGAAUAUUCAAAGGCCAUUGUUGAAUUGGUAGAAAUGAAGUUAUUAAGAGGUUUACAUGGAGGGAAGGAUGAAGAUGAAACACUUAUUUAUAGACUUAAAUGUGAUACAUCCAACAUUUCCAUUAGUUGGUGUUGACAUCUAACCACCUCUUUCAUCUACAAAUAAUGGAAUUAAAAAGGAUUAUAUACAUGAGCUCAAUUCCACACAUAUUUUAUUUCAUUUUAUCGAAAUGCUCUGAAUUUUUCAAUUAAAAUUUACACCUACAAUUACAUAUGAAAUAAUUAAAAAUAUUUCUUUUCCACUCUAUGCACUUUUAAAUAUAACUUGUUUAAAAUUAAUAAUUACAAUUCAUUUUAAGAAGUAAGGACCAAAUAUGCCCACGUCAACAACCUAGUUGAUACAGGAAGUUCACUUUAACCAACAUUACUCCUUGUUUGGAUUGAAUUCUUUUAACUAUUUUGCCCUGAGAGAAAUAAACUUUUUUAACUCUAUUAGUUCUUUCAUAAUUUUUAUCCUUACAAUAUGAACUAUCUUAUUUCUCUUAAUAUUUUAUAAAUCAUUUAUGUUAUAUUUCAAAACCAAAUUAGUUGUCAUUUCUUGUACUUCUUUCCUAGACAAAUGCAUAAUUUGUGGUUGAUGUUUAUCAUUUUUAUUAAAGGUGUUCACAAUUUGUAAGUGAGACCCAUCAUCUAUGAAAAAUAUAGACAUGCUUUUUUUUCAUUUGGAAGUCUUAAGGAACUAGUAUUUGAACCACAACAAGGACUAAGGACUAACAAAUUUUCACUUUGUUUUUCAUCCAAAUAAGACACACAAUUGUUUUUGUAUUAUCUAUUCUAAGCCAAGGGGCUUUCAAGGCUUUAAAAUGCAUCUCUAAAGUUAAGAGGAGCCCAACAUAUAUAUCAUCAUGAGCUUUUUUCCCUAUUCAACGUGAGAUGUCACAAAAAUUGUUCAACAAGAUUAAUGCAUUUGUGAAGCUCAGAAGAAUCACAAAAAUCAAAGGAAAAUAUUUUGGGAAUUACAACAUAAAACAUGCAGGACCCAUGUACACAUGCAUUUUCCUUAUCAAACAGUUGUCUUGAAAAGCCAUUCUAAAGCCCACUUGGCUUCCCAUCACUAGUAAUGGACCAACAUCAUUCAAAUUCUCAAUGCUCUUGAAAGGCCAUAUGCACUUGAAGUAAAAAGAGAUUGAAUUUUUGUUAGAUAGUUUGUUUUUGCUAUUUGGGAACAUAUUUUUCUUUUCUUUUUUUUGUUCUUUUUUCUUUUUAAUAGAACGUUUACAUGGUAGCCUGCUCCAAUCCCCUUACGAAACUUUUGUUAUUAGGUUAGCCAUACACUUCACAUGUUUGUUUCUAGCGAUUCACAUGGUAUAAUCAAAUGAUACAAGUCUUGGAUAAGAAUCUACAAUGCACUAGAACACCCUUGUUGAUGAUCCUUUACUCCGAUAGUGUCUAGAGUUCCUCGAACAAUAUGAUAUCUCACAUUGGGUAAAUCCUUAACCCUUCCCCCUCUUACUAAGACUACAAAAUGUUCUUGUGAAUUAUGGCCAAUACCAGGUAUAUAAGUAGUGAUUUCAAAUCCAGAGGUUAAUCGUACUCUGGCAACUUUACGUAAGGCAGAGUUUGAUUUUUUUGGGGGUGAUAGUAGAAAAGUUGACAGAUAAGUCACCCUUACUAGAGUGUAAAAUCCUUUAUUUUUUGUUCAAAUUUUAGCUUUGCAAUUAGAGUCAAUACAUCUCGUAUUCAAUUCAAUCCUCAUAUUUUCUGGACUCCUAAAUUCUAAACCCUAUCUGGGUUUUCCAGUUUUGUGAAAAAUCACAUCAUAUGGACCUGACAGGAUGGGAUUUGAUUCAAUGUUAGAGACAAAAUUUUGGAAAAAUCUGCAAAACCCUCAACAGUUGUGGCCAUACCAUAGCUCAAGACCAAGAUGAGAAUUUACAAUCUAAUAAUGCUGAUGAAUGCUUCAUAGACUGCUCUACAAAACUAGAGUUUGUCAGAAGGCCUGUCCUUUGUUGAAAGACGUGAAGGUCGCAGGAAGAACCUAGGCCGAAAGUAAUCAGCAAAGGAUAAGAACACCAGGAUUAUUUCACAUUGAAACACUUUACUCCAACUACUCUGGUUAAACGAAUUCAUCCUAGAGUAAGCAUGUGAAGAUAGCAACCUUGUUAUAGACUUAAAUGUGAUACAUCCAACAUUCCCAUUAGUCGGUGUUGACAUCCAACUACAUCUUUGUCUACAACUAAUGGAAUUGAAAAAUUAUAUAGCUCAAUCCUGCACUUAUUUUAUUUUAUUUUAUCAAAGUGCUCUUGGAAUUGAAAAGGAUUAUAUAGCUCUUAAGUUUUAUUAACAUGAGUGCAAAUUAAUUUUAAUUUUGAAAAAGUUUUACUAAUUGGUGGAAAAUUCUUCCUCGAAUUAUAUGUGGAUAUGAAUUACUUGGAUAAAAUUUGGAGCUUUGUUGAUAUCAUGUUAGUGACUUAUUUUGUUGAGAUAUAUAGUUAUAAGACAAAUCUCAGCCAACUUUCUUUUUUUCUUAGAAAGACAAAGCUCAUUGCAAUGAAUAAUGGGAUCCAGAGAUGUAUAAAAGUGUGCAUUUUUACUUAAAAAAAAUGUGUUCCAUGACUAGCAUGUAUUUCAAAUUUAAGCUCAAACAAAAAGACCACUCAAUCCACUAAGAGCUCUUUAGAGAUGAAAACAACAUAAUAAUUGAAAACAAAAAUAAACUCAUUGAUAUGAAAAUAAAAAAUAUAUUUAUUUUGUUAUAAAAACUAUGAUAUCACAGAUUAAUUUGAAUGUGAAGUGAACUGGACUAUUGACUCUUUAAUUAAUAAAUCAAUUAAUUUUUAUAGUACUUUUUUUAUUAAAACAAUUCCUUAAUUGUGAAGUAAAUUUUACUUAUCUAUUCAUAUGUAUUUGAUAAAAUUAACCUUAAUGGGAUAGAAACAUCAUGCAAUUCAUUUUGUUUUUAUCAACAAUUCUUAUAAAGAGAUCACUUAAGGGAGAGAACUCACAUCAUCAAUGCUGAGUAGUUAUCACAAAGUGAUUAAAAUUUUUUUCCUAAAAAAAAAAUAUAUUUUUAUGAAAAUUGCUUUUAUUUAAAAUCAAUCAUAAUAUAAAUCAUGUUUUUAUUUUUUUUAUUAAGUUAAUAAGAUUUAAAAUUAAAAUAAAUUUUACAAAAUCAGUAAAUGUUUAUAUAUAUAAAAAAAUCAAAUGGCUCCACUCAUCCAUUAUUCAUGAUUGAUUGAACAAUGUAAAGAUGACAGUAUCUUCUAUGUAUAAUUUAAACACUCUCACCCUAGACUUUUAUACAUGAAUAGCUAUUAGAAAAUACAAAAUUUAAUGCAAAAAUUGGACUGAGGGAGUAACAUAACCUCAUCAAUGCUUGUAGUUGAUACAUAAAUAGAUUGAAGAGGAUACAACUACCAUCACAAAUAAUAAAUGAAAAAUAAUUAAUAUAACCAUAAUUUAGUUUUUCUUUUGUUUAAAUAAUCAACUAUUCUAGUUGGGGAAUGGAUCAUAUAUGGGGUCCAUGAAUUAAAUUAUUGUACAAAAUGUCUUACAAGAAAAAUGUUACUUAGCUUACGAUUUAUACAUUUGCUUUCAAUUAACUAAUGGUUCUAAUAUAUAAGUGUUCAUUUGGAUAAAGUUCUUAUUUUCCAGUUUUAAAAAUAAAAAAUAGUAAUAACUUCUAUUGAAAAUAUAAAAAAUCAUCUAACUCUUAAGACACAACUACCAUCACAAAUAAUAGACAAAAAUAAUUAAUAUAACCAUUGUGAGGUUGUUCUUUUGUUCAAAUAAUCAACUAUUUUAGUUGGGGAAUGGACCACACAUAUGGGGUCCAUGAAUUAAAUUAUUGUACAAAAUGUCUCCAAGAAAAAUGUUAUUUAGAUUAUUAUUUAAACAUUUGCUUUCAAUUAAUUAAUUGUAUUAAUAAUUGAGUGUCCAUUUGGAUGGAGUUCUUAUUUUCUAGUUUUAAAAAUAAAAAAUAGUAAUAACUUCUAUACAAAACAUAAAAAGUCUUCGAGUCUUAACACACAACUACCAUCACAAAUAAUAGACGAAAAACAAUUAAUAUAGUCAUUAUGAGGUUGUUCAUUUGUUCAAGCAAUCCACUAUUCUAGUUGGGGAAUGGACCACAUAUGUGGUCCAUGAAUUAAAUUAUUGUACAAAAUGUCUCACAAGAGAAAGGUUAUUUAGCUCACUAUUUAUAUAUUUGCUUUCAAUUAAUUAAUUUUUACUAAUAAUUAAGUGUCCAUUUGGAUGGAGUUUUUAUUUUUCUAGUUUUAAAAAUAAAAAACAGUUACAACUGCUAUAUAAAAGACAAAAAGUCUUCUAGUUUUAAGACACAACUACCAUCACAAAUAAUAGAUGAAAAACAAUCAAUAUAACCAUAAUGAGGUUGUUCUUUUGUUCAAAUAAUCAACUAUUCUAGUUGGGGAAUGGACCAUACAUGGGGUCCAUGAAUUAAAUUACUGUAUAAAACAUCUCACAAUAAAAAUGUCAUUUAGCUUACUAUUUAUACAUUUCCUUUCAAUUAAUUAAUUAUACUAAUAAUUAAGUGUCCUUUUGGAUGGAGUUAUUUUCUAGUUUUAAAAAUAAAAAUAGCAAUAACUUCUACAUGAAAUAUGAAAAGUCUUUGAGUCUUAUAUCCAAAAUGUAGUGCCUUUUAAACUUGAUUUGAAAAAAAAAAUAUUAAAAAAAAUUACUAUUUGGAAUUUUAAAUUUUUUGAAAAAUAUUUUUCAAAAUGUAAGGUAAGUCUAUAUUUUUUGUAUAUGAAUAUAUGUUUUUUAGAUAAAGUUUUCUUUUGUAAAAGAUAAAAAAUAGAAAAUAUAUCUAAAUGGAACAUAAAUGCUUACAUAAAAAUUAUCAAACAAUGAAAUGUUACUUAAAUCUGUAGUUAAAAAAUUAUAAUAGAGAACUCGUAAGCAAAAAAGUAUAUAUACUUAGUAAAGAGAAUUAAGACUAAUUAAUUGCAAAGAAAUUGUGACACAUUCAUGGGUAAAUCCAACACAUGUUUAGUGCAUGGCCCAAGUUUGUUAAAAUACUAUCAAAUAAUAAAGUUAUUAUGAACUCAAGAACUUCGGAUUACCAAAACCAACCUAAAUAAUUGGUCAUGCAUGACCUAUUUUAAAGUCUUUGCCAAUCCUGAAGUUAACUUGAAAAUUGUGUAAACAUGUUUCUUAGAAAUACACAUUUCAAACUCUCUCAAUCUUUCUUUACCAAAAACUCAAUACACCCUUUUUGUACCUCUCUUUACUCUUUGCUUAGUUUUUCCUUCUCUAUAAAAAUACUAAAUAAAGUCACAUAUUUAUGGAGUCCUAUUGGUUAACCCUAGACCAAUAGUUUCCCAAUCCUUUGUUAAGUUCAAAAGUAACUUACCAAAACAUACACACUAUAAAUAUUUACUCUCCAAAAAAUAAAUAUUAAAAUAAUUUGAGUCAAUGCACUCAACUGAAUCAUCGAUAACCAUAAUUUCUAGGGAUACAAAAUUGUUUAACAAGAUUAAUGCAUUUGUGAGGCUUAGAUGAAUCACAAAAAUUAGAGGAAAAUCUUUUGGGCAUUACCACAUAAAAGAUGUAGGACCACAUAUGCAUUUUCCUUAUAAAACAAUUGUCUUGACAAGCCACUUUAAAGCCCACUUGGGCUUGCCAUCACCAUUGAUGGACCUACAUCAUUACAUCAUUCAAAUUCUCGAUGCUCUUAAAGGUGGUAUCCACUUGAAGGUAAAAGGAUUCCAAUUUUUGUUAGAUUGUUUGUCUUUUCUAUCUGGAAACUAUUUUUCUUUUCUUUCUUUUUUAUAUCACAUUUACUCUCCUAGAAUGUAAAAUUCUCUGUUCUCUGUUCAGAUAUCAGCUUUCCAAUUGGAAUUAAUACAUCUAGUAUUCAAUUCAAUCCUCAUCCUUUUCUGGCCUCCUAAAUUCUAAACUUUGUCUAGGUUUUCCAGUUUUAAGAAAAAAUACAUCAUGAGGACCCAACAUGAUGGGAUUAGAUUCAAUGUUAAAGACAAAAUUUUCAAAUAAUCUGCAAAACCCCUCAACAUUUGUGGCUAUAGUUCACGACCAAGGUGGGAAUUAACAAUCUAAUAAUGCGGAUGAAUGCUUCAUUGACAGCUCUACCAGACUAGACUUCGACGGAAUGCAUGAUAACAAAUUUACAUGGAGAAGUGAGGACCCUUGGCUAGUUUCACCCCCAUGACCAUGGCCCAGCAGCCCAGCAGCUCAUUCAAUGUAAUCAUGGAAAACGCUUUUGACAAUGGUGGCCAUUGUGUUGAGAGUGCUCUGUCAAUUUGUUGCAUAGUUGGCCGAGAUUGGGGAUUAACAUGCAAGCAUGCAAAUGCUAAUUUGACUGCAAGUGCUACUUCCUUAGCCACUUAAUUCACAGGAGGUGGGAGCCGCUGGUCCAUCACAUCAUUCAACAGGCAAUGGUCCACAGUUGAUGGUGAUGAGGAUGAUGAGGACGCUGAUGAUAACAGGGAUAAGAUGAGUUCUUCAGGGUGCUUUCCCAUAAUUACUUCCAAUGUUACCACUCUGAAGCUAUGAACAUCGGUUUUAUUAUCCACCUUCAUCUUGUAAGCAAGUUUUGCAAAGAAGAUUAGCUCAUGCUCUUCUCUACUAAGCAAUUGUGAAAGUUACAUAUGAUGUAUAGAGGUCGUUUAGAGAUAAGCAAGGCACUAAGUAAAAUGUACCUGGAGCAGUUUAACCAAAAGUUCCUGCCAUUGAAGUCCAAUUAGACGAGUCUGACUUUAAAAACCUAGUCGUGCUGAAGUCAGAUACAUGAGCUUCAUAUUCUGAAUCUAACAACACAUUGUUGCUCGAUAUGUCUUGAUGAAUUAUGGGAGGUGAACAAUCAUGGUGCAUAUAGGAUAAAGCUUUAGCCACGCCUUUAACAACAUUUAGCCUCACCAUCCAAUCUAAUUUUUCUGCUUCUUCGUCAUUGCUAAGAAUGUUUCUCAGGCUCCCCUUUUCCAUAAACUCAUAAACCAAAAAUGAGUUCUCUACAAAUGAACUGAAGCCAUAAAACUCGAUGAUAUUGCGAUGCCUUAUAUGUGUUAAAGUAUGAAUCUCACUUUUGAAAGCUUUCAAAUCAGCCAUAUCUCCAUCUUCUGAUGAGUGAAGUUUUUUCACAGCAACAACCCGACCUAUUGGCAUCUCAGUCUUGUAAAGAGUGCCAUAUCUUCCAGUGUCAAUACACUGUUUCGAACUGAAAUUGUCAAUGCCCUGUAUGAUGUGCUCAUACAACAAUUCCCCAUCAUGGUCCCAUAUUGCAAAUAGAUCUUCAACAUCUGCUUCUGGAGACUUGGUUUUUCUCUUCCUCAACUUUUGGGAAAAAAAUAAAAUAAAUGUCAAUAAUAAAAGCAAAUAAGAACAAUAGAAUGCUCACAAUGAGGAGUAUUAUGAUCAGAACAGGAAACUUGUUGGCCUUGUUUCUACUAGCACUGCAUGGCUUGAGAUGAGUGACAUUAUUACCACACAGACCUUUAUUAUUUUUGAAUGCCUCAAAUGGAGGAAAGGCUUCGAUGUUGGGGAGAGGACCUUCCAAUUAAUUGUAGGAUAUAUCAGCAACUGUCAGGCUUAUCAACUCGUCAAAUGUGUGUGGGAUGGUGCCAGAGAGCCUGUUAUGGGAGAGAUUCAACAUUUCCAGGUACUGUAAUUCUCUAAUCAGCAGUGGUAUCUCUCCUGUAAACAUAUUUUGACUAAGAUUGAGACUUUCAAGAUGAUGCAUCUUUCCAAUUUCAUCAGGAAUGCUAUCCACAAAUCUAUUCUCGCUCAAGUUCAAGGAUAAAAAUUUCCAGAAGUUUCUUAGUUUUUUGGGACUUCAACCGCUUAAGUUGUUUGGUGCCAAGUCAAGAAUUUCAAGAUUGGAUAAGUUUCCCAAUUCCAAAGGAAUACUUCUUGAAAGAUUGUUGUUGCCUAGCAACAAUUUGAAUAAUAAGGGCAAUAUACCAAAUUCUUUGGGUAUCUUCCCAAUCAGAUGAUUUGUGGAGAGAUCAAGUUGUUGCAGUUGAGGUGGUAUAGCACCAGAAAUAUUAUUGUUGGAGAUGUUCAGGUUUGUGAGCAUGUGGCACUGCCCCCAUUUCUUAAAAAGCUCACCAUAAAAAUUGUUACUGCUUAGAUCAAUAUAAUUUAGGUGUGUGUAGACACCAAAACUUUCAUCUAUGUCUCCCAUGAGUUGGUUUCUUUCAAGCUUAACCCUAAAUAAGCUUGUGCAAUUUUUCAAGUUCUUUAGAAUAGGACCAGUGAAAUGGUUUCCUAAGGCAGCAAAUUAUUCAAGAACACUACCAAGACAGAUCUCUUGUAUAAGUUGGCCAAUGCAGUUAUUCUCAGCUAACAUCAAAGAUUUCAAAUGAGUGAUAUUAUUCAUUUAUGGAGAAAUGCACCACUGAGUCUAUUGUAAUGAAGGGCCUAAAAGGUUAAGCCCGACAAUUUCUUAUGGAAGCUGGUAUUGAACCACUAAGAUUGUUAAAUGACAAAUUAAGAUCAAGCAAUCUCAACCAUUGAAUUUCUUGAGGGAUUGAACCAGGAAGCUUAUUCUCAAAAAGAUACAAAGUGGUUAAGUUUCUCAAGUUUCCUAUGGAAGGAGGGAUUAGACUAGUGAGACUAUUUGUAGUCAACUAAAGAUCAUUAAGUGCUAUCAACAAUCCAAUUUCUUAAGGAAUAGAACCAUAUAGUUUGUUUAUAUGAAGAUACAAUUCCUCAAGUUUCGUAUAGAUGGAGGGAUCAAACCAGUGAGAUUGUUAGCUAAUAAAUCAAGAACAUUGAGAAAUCUCAACAAUCCAAUUUCUUAAGGGAUGGAACCAUAAAGCUCAUUCUUAAAAAGGUACAAAGUGGUUAAGUUCCUCAAGUUACCAAUGGAAGGAAGGAUUGGACCAAUGAGGUUGUUAGUCGAUAAUAGAAGAUUAUUAAGUGAUUUCAAUAAUCCAAUUUCUUGAGGGGUAGAACUAGAAAGCUCAUUCUAAAAAAGAUGUAAAGUGGUUAAGUUCCUCAAGUUUCCUAUAGAUGAAGGGAUCAAACCAAUGAGAUUGUUAGCUAAUAAAUCAAGAAAAUUAAGAUAUCUCAACAAUCCAAUUUCUUGAGGAAUAGAACCAGAAAACUCAUUCUUAAAAAGGUACAAAGUGGUUUUUGAAGGAAAGAUGAGUUUUCAGUUCUAUGCACCAAAGGAAAAGAAUGAAAUAGAAGAAGAAGAUGAAAUUUUUUUUCUCGAUUUCUGAAGGAAGAGAUAAGGAGUUGUUCUGUAAAUGAAGCAAAAGAGGAGAAGUUGUAAGUGUUGGAGGAAAAUAAAAGGAGGGGUAUUUUUGUCUUAAUCGAGUCAUUUUUUGUAUUUUUGAACGGUGGGUAUUUUUACAAAUAUGGGGGUUAUUUUGACCCCUUUAACCAAAUAACACAACAAAAAAUAGGAAAUCAUAUUUGACAACUAAAAACUAUUUUUUGUUUUCUGUUUAGAAAACAUAGUGUUUUUAGAUAACAUAUUUUAGUUGUUUUUAAUUAUUUUCACUUGUUUUUUAAAGGUUGUUUUAAAAAUAAUAAUUAUACAAACAUGUAGAAUGAUUAAAAAUAAAAUAUGAGAUAUAAAAAUUAUUUUUAAAACAUAUUUAAAAUUAUUAAAACCAUGUUAAAAACAAUUCAGGUUCUCAAACAAACUUUUGUUUUAUAAAACAUUAGAUAAUAGUUUUCAAAAAUUGCUCUAAAAAAAAUGUUUUUCAAACUAUUUUUAAAAAUAGUUGUCAUGUCAAAUAGGGCCUAAACUUCUUUCCUUAAGUACAUUUAUCUAUAUGAAAACUUCUUUAGAUAAGGUAAAAUCAAUUUAGGAGAAUCAAAUUUGUUUUAUAUCCAUAUGAAAAACAAAAUCAAUUUAUGAGAUUUAAAUAUGAGGUCCUUUUGUUUAAUUAAUCAACUGUUCUAAGUUGGGGAAUGGACUAUACAUGGAUCCAUGAAUUAAAUUAUUGUAGAAAAAGUCUCAAAAGAAAAUGUUACUUGGCUUACUAUUUAUAAAUUUGUUUUCAAUUAAUUCAUUUGUACUAAAUAAUUAAGUGUCCAUUUAGAUAUAAUUCUCAUUUUCUAUUUUUUUUUAAAAAUAGAAAUAACUUCUUAUAUAAAAUACAAAAAAUUCUUGAAGUCUUACACAAAAAAAUAGUGGUUUUUAUAAAUUGAGGCAUGAAAAAAAUUUACUAUUUCAAAUUUUAAAUUUUUUUAAAGUAUAAGUUAAGUUCAUACUUUUUGUAUUAGAGUUUCAACUUUUUAUAUAAGAAUUUCUAUUUUUAGAAACAAAAAAACAAAAAAUGUAUUCAAACAAAAUAUAAAUACUUAAAUAUAAAAUGUAUCAAGUACCGGAAUUUAACUUUAACUAAUAAUUAAAAAUGAUGAUAAUAACUUAUGAGCAAAAAACUAUACUUAGUAAAAAGAUUUAAAACUAAUUAAUUUCAAAUUAAUAAAUUGUGAAACAAAGAGCCUAGUAAUUCAUGGGCAAAUUUAACACAUAUUUACUACAAGGCCUAAGUUUGUUCACAUCUUAUUAAAUAAUAAAUUGCCAUCAACUCAAUAACUCCCAAAUAAUGAAACCAUUGAAAUCAUUCAUUUGACCAUGCUUAACCCAUUUUAAAGUUUUUGCCCAACUUGAAGUCAUCUUAAAAACCUUGUCCCAUAGUUUCAUGUGAAUGUUGACUUGGAUAGGUGUUGUCUACUUUUGAAUACCAACAACAACUUAAAUAAUUCCUCAUGCUUGAUCCAUUUUAAAGUCUUUGCUAACUUCAAAUUAUCUUAAAAGGUUUGUCUCAUAGCUUUACAUGCAUUUAUGACUUUGAUAGAAUGCAUGACUUUGAUGUGUGGUACCAAUUGAAAAUACCAAAAACCAUCGAAAUAAUUGCUCAUGCUUAACCCAUUUUAAAGUCUUUGCCCAAUUUGAAAUCAUCUUAAAAAAACUUGUCCCAUAGUUUUCACAUACAUUCAUGACUUUGAUAGGUAGUGUCAACUUUCAAAUAAAACAAAUGACCAAAAUAAUUGCUCUUGCUCCACCCAUUUUAAAGUCUUUCCCUAAUUUGAAAUCAUCUUUAAAAAACUUGUCUCAUAGUUUCACAUGUAUUUUUUACUUUGAUAGGCCAUGCCAACUUUGUGCUUAACCCAUUUUAGAGUCUUUGCCCAACUUGAAAUUAUCUUAAAAAACUCGUUCCAUAGUUCUCACAUGCAUUCAUAAAUUUCAUAGGUAGUGUCAACUUUUGAAACAGAAAAAUGAUUUGACCCAUUUUAAAGUCUUUGCCUAACUUGAAAUCAUCUUGAAAAACUUGUUCCAUAGUUUCACAUGCAUUCAUGACUUUGAUAGGUAGUGUCAACAUUGUGCUUAACCCAUUUUAAAGCCUUUGCCCAGCUUGAAUCAUCUUAAAAAACUCAUCUCAUAGCUUCCCAUGCAUUUAUAACUUUGAUAGGUAGUGUUAACUUCCUGCUUGACCCAUUUUAAAGUCGUUGCCAACUUCAAAUCAUCUUAAAAGACUUGUCUCACAGUUUUACAUGCAUUUAUGACUUUGAUAGAAUUUAUGACUUUGAUAUGUGGUACAAACUCAAAAUGCCAAAAUCUACUAAAAUAAUUGCUCGUACUUGACCCAUUUUAAAGUCUUUGCCCAACUUGAAAUCAUCCUAAAAAACUUGUCCCAUAGUUUUCACAUGCAUUCAUAACUUAGAUAGGUAUUGUCGACUUUCAAAUAACAAAAAUGAUGAAACUAAUUGUUCCUGCUUCACCCAUUCUAAAGUCUUUGCCUAACUUGAAAUCAUCUUUAAAAAACUUGUCUCAUAGUUUUACAUGUAUUUUUUACUUUGAUAGGCCAUGUCAACUUUGUUUUUUUUACCCAUUUUAAAGUUUUUUCCCAACUUGAAAUCAACUUUAAAAACUUGGUCCAUAGUUCUCUCAUGCACUCAUGAAUUUCAUAGGUAGUGUUGACUUCUAAAAUAGAAAAAUGACUUGACCCAUUUUAAAGUCUUUGCCUAACUUGAAAUCAUCUUAAAAAGCUUGGCCCAUAGUUUCACAUGCAUUCAUGACUUUGAUAGGUAGUGUUAACUUUGUGCUUGACCCAUUUUAAUGUCUUUGCCCAACUUGAAAUCAUCAUAAAAAACUUAUACCAUAGCUUCAUAUGCAUUCAUAACUUUGAUAGGUAGUGUUAACUUCCUGUUUGACCCAUUUUAAAGUCUUUUCCAACUUCAAAUCAUCUUAAAAGACGUGUCUCAUAGUUUUACAUGCAUUUAUGACUUUGAUAGAAUGCAUGACUUUGAUAUGUGGUACCAACUAAAAAUACCAAAAACCAUCGAAAUAAUUGUGCGUGAUUGACCCAUUUUAAAGUUUUGGCCAAUUUGAAAUAGUUUUCACAUACAUUCAUGACUUUGAUAGAUAGUGUCUGACUUUCAAAUAACAAGAGUGACCAAAAUAAUUGCUCUUGCUUCACCCAUUUUCAAGUCUUUGCUUAACUUGAAAUCAUUUUUAAAAAACUUGUCUCAUAGUUUCAUAUGUAUUUUUUACUUUGAUAAGCCAUGUCAACUUUGUGCUUAACCCAUUUUAGAGUCUUUGCCCAAUUUGAAAUCAUCUUAAAAAACUUGUUCUAUAGUUCUCACACGCAAUCAUGAAUUUCAUAGGUAGUGUCGACUUUUGAAAUAGAAAAGUGACCCAACCCAUUUUAAAGUCUUUUCCUAACUUGAAAUCAUAUUAAAAAACUUGUCCCAUAGUUUCACAUGCAUUCAUGACUUUGAUAGGUACUGUCAGCUUAGUGCUUAACCCAUUUUAAUGUCUUUUCCCUACUUGAAAUCAUCUUAAAAAAAUUAUCCUAUAGUUUCGCAUGCAUUCAUAACUUUGAUUGGUAGUGUUAACUUCCUGCUUGACCCAUUUUAAAGUCUUUGCCAACUCCAAAUCAUCUUAAAAGACUUGUUUCAUAGUUUUACAUGCAUUUAUGACUUUGAUAUGUGGUUCCGACUCAAAAUGCCAAAAACAAUUGAAAUAAUUGCUCAUACUUGACCCAUUUUAAAGUCUUUGCCCAACUUCAAAUCAUCUAAAAAAACUUGUCUCAUAGUUUUCACAUGCAUUCAUAACUUUGGUAGUGUCAGCUUCUAAAAAAAGAAAAAAAACCAAAAUAAUUGCUCUUGCUUGACCCAUUUUAAAGUCUUUGCCUAGCUUGAAAUCAUCUUAAAAACUCAUCCAAUAGUUUCACAUGUACUUAUGACUUUGAUAGGUAUUGUUUUUAAGUUUGUGCUUGACCCAUUUUAAAGUCUUUUCCUAACUUAAAAUCAUCUUAAAAAACUUGUCCCAUAGUUCUCACAUGUAUUUAUGAAUUUGAUUCACAUGUAUUUAUGAAUUUCAUAAGUAGUGCCGACUUUCGAAUAAGAAAAACAACCAAAAUAAUUGCUUGUGCUUGACCUAUUUUAAAGUCUUCACCUAACUUGAAAUCAUUUUUAAAAAACUUGUCCUAUUGUUUCACAUGCAUUCAUGACUUUGAUAGGUAGUGUCAAUUUCGUGCUUGACCCAUUUUAAAGUUUUUGCUCAACUUGAAAUCAUAUUAAAAAGAAAAAAAACUUGUCCCAUAGUUUUCACAUGCAUCAUGACUUUUUUAGGCAGUGUCGACUUCCAAAUAACAAAAAUGAACAAAAUAGUUGCUCGUGCUUGACCCAUUUUAAAGUCUUUGCCUAACUUGAAAUCAUCUUAACAAACAUAUCCCAUAGUUUCACAUGCAUUUAUGACUUCGAUAGGUAGUAUCAAGUUCUAAAUACCGAAAACAACCAAAAUAAUACUCAUGCUUGACUCAUUUUAAAGUCUUUGCCCAACUUGAAGUCAUCUUUGUUUGAUUGUGAUCUUUGUUUGAUUGUAAAGCCUUUAUCAGUCUUAUAGCACUAUGCAAAGGCUAUUGGGGGGUUGAGCUCAACUUGUUAACAUUUUCUUUUUAUUUCUUGAAGGAUGACUUUUCCCCUAUAGUUGUUAUAUUUAACUCUCUUAUAAUUUAGGAUUUCGUGUGAAAGUUUAGAAGAAAAGGAGAGUAUUCACUAUUGUAACCUUUGUACCUUCUUUUGAUUAGUGGAUUAUUGAGUGUUAGUACACUCUCUAUUAGUGCACUCUGUAGAAGUAGGGAUCAUAUUGAUCAUUGAACCAUACUAAAAUUUCAUUUAUUUUUCUUUAUUACUACUCAUGUGUGUGGUUGCAUUAAGAAUCUUAAAAAAAGCUUGACUCAUAGUUUCACAUGAAUUCAUGACUUUAAUAGGUAGUGUAAUGAUGUCACUUAUCUCCUUGAAUUUCUUUUUGGAAAACAUAUUCUAGAGGUGACAAGAAACUUAUCAAAUUUCAAUCUGACCUCACGUUUAGACAAGGCAAUCACCUAAAGCCCUCACUCCAUAAAAAGCUCCAAAUUUUUGUUAUUAUUACUUUAUUUAUUUUUCUGGUUUUUAUUAGCUAUUUUAAAUAAUUAUUCAUAGUUCUUUAUUUUAAUUAAAUGAUAAAAUAAAAAGAAAAGAAAAAUGAAAUAAAUGUCCAAACUUGUAUAAUUAUCUAGAUAUUUGUUUGCAUUGGGACAUUGGUUCAACUAAACAUUUAUAGUCAUUAGAAUUUAUCAUUUUAAUUGUAUUAUUCUAAAAAGAGAAUCUAUUGAUUUCAUUUUGAAAACCUACAAGUUUUAAUAAGCCCUUUUGUCUUUCUCAAUUCCAUAAAUUUUAUCUCAUGCUAUCUUUUUCACAUAGUAGCAAAAGAAUUUUAAUUGAAAUACACAAAAGAAAUAAACUAUAUGUCCUACAUACAAGUCUAAUAAGAAAAACCUUUAGAGUUGGAUGCCCACUAACUUCCUCUCUAAAGAUGAUUCUACCUUUCUAAUUGGCACACAAGAGUCUUCACUUAAAAAUAUUAAAAUAAAUUGGAUUAACAUAAGAUCUAGUGAAUAGUUGUAAUACACAAGAGUUAUGAUGAACAAAAUAGAUUUAGAACAUGUCAAAAGUCAUAAUAGGAUUUAAGGAAUAUAUGACAUUUAAAAAUAUGUAAUCAUGAUUUUAAACAUAUCUAUGGUCAAUCUACUAGUUAUACAUAAUUAAGCCUUUACUACUUGUGAUAGUACCUCAUCAACACCAUUUUUAGGGUCUCAUUAUCUUGGAUCACACUACCAAGGAACUCAUGUCCUAGCCAUCCAUCAAGGGCACAAUGGAGCAUAAUUUACCACUUCAAACUCUUCCAUAUAGCCCAGUAUCGAAACCCACAAUACCAGUGUAUGAUCCAUCCCAUCCCUUACUACAUAAGUGGUGUAAAGUUUCAUAUCAAAGAAAAAUGAAACACCUCAUUGAUAUAUGUGUUAUGUAUGAUACCUGUUAUAUAUAAAUCUCCAGAACUUUAACAAUUAAUUUAAAAUUUAACAAAGUAUGUAAUUGCAUUAUUGUACACAUAUGCAAGGUAUUAAAUGAUUACUUGAAAAAGAAGUGGUAUUUAUUUUUGCAAACUUAAUAUUAAUCAUAUGUGUUUUGACCAAAUAGAAAUUUCACAUGUCUCAUACUAAUAAUCAAAUUGAACAAGUAAUGUAUAAUGCAUAUAAGAGAGAUUUAUUUUAGGAAAAUUUACUAAAACCAUUUAUAUUUUAACUAUUCACAAAAAUCUUUGUAAUCAAAAUAACAACAGAAUUUGCAGUAUAAUGGCACCUGAAACUAUGGAUCCUCUCCUAAUUAACAAAUGAAUACUUUUAGAUUUGGAAAUUUCAUAAAAGAUGGCUAAGAUCCUAUACCCCUAAUUGUCUUCUUUCACAUGAAUGACACCUAAUAGUCUUCUGUCACCUAGACAACACCUUAGACUAAAAUUGAUGAACUUGAAAAUAAGAAUUUAGGAAAAUGGAGUCCAACUUGUGUAAAACUUGAACCAAUGAGUCUAUCAACGGUAUAUAUACUUUGAGAAUUGAUAACUAAGUCAACUUAGUCUCAGCCUCUAUUAGUUCCAAAUUUGCAUAAAUAGCACAUGCUAAAACACACUUAUUUUCUCGUUUUUUUACCAAAUAAUCCAAGUUCCAUAAAUUAUUAAACUAUCCAUGUUUACUCAAUGACAAGUCUAAAAAUUUAUAAAAAUAAUUUAGAAGUCUAAAACUAACUCAAAUAGUAAUACAAUCCAAAACCCAAAACUUUCUUAGCACAUAAUGUUGAAAAUCUACCAAACUUUACCAAAUCUUUUUCCAUACUAACAAAAUUUGAAUCAAGUUGAAUUGGAUUCUUUAGUUUCUUUUCAAAUAUACUAAAAUUAUUAAAAAUAACUAGAGGUAAAGAUUCUUAAUGAAAACAUUGCAAAAUUGAAACUAUGUUUGAAAACAUUAUUAAGUGAACCCACAAUCUAUUGAACUAACAUAUGGAAAACUUACCAAUUGGUCUUGUUUCAACUUCUUAUUACAAUUUCAAAAAAAAAGAAAAUAAAUAAAUAAAUCCCUAGAUGGGACUGAGGAACAAGCACUGUGGUUUUGUUGACCAUGAAUCAAGACUUCCAUAUAUGCUCACAUAAGCUCCAUUUUAAUCAAAGGUUGCUGCGAAAAUUAGUAACAGUUAGCAGGACCACUCAAGUGAAGCAUCGAUAACCAUAAUUUCUGGGGAUAUAAAGCUGUUCAACAAGAUUAAUGCAUUUGUGAGGCUCAGAAAAAUCAAAAAAAUCAGACGAGAAUCUUUUGGGCGUUACUACAUAAAAGAUGCAGGACCACACAUCCAGUUUUCUUAUCAACCAGUCAUCUUGACAACCCACUUUGAAGCCCACUUGGCCUUGCCAUCACCAUUGAUGAACCUACAUCAUUCAAAUUCUCAAUGCUCUUUAAAAUCAAUAUAUGCUUCAAGUCAAAAGGGAUUGGAAUUUUUGUUAGAUAACAGCCUUUGCUAUUCAGGAACAUAUUUUUCUUUUCUUUUUUUAUUUUUUAUUUUUUAUUUUAUUUUAUUUUAUAGAAUGUUUACCCUCCUUGAAUGUAAAAUCCUCUGUUCUCUGAUCAGAUUUCAGCUUUGUAAUUGGAAUCAAUAGAUCUUGUAUUCAAUUCAAUCCAAGUGUUUUUCUGGCCUCCUAAAUUCUAAACCCUAUCUGGGUUUUCCAUUUUUGUGAAACAUUAAAUCACCGAGUCCGGGAUCCAACACGAUGGGAUUGGAUUCAAUGUUAGAGACAAAAAUUAGUAAAAACAAAUCUUCAAAACCCUCAACAGUUGUGGCCAUAGCUCAAGACCAAGAUGGGAGUUAACAAUUUAAUAAUGCUGAUGAAUGCUUCAUUGACUGCUCUACCAUACUAGACUUUGACUGCUGUCGUUUGUUGAAAGACAUGAAGUUCCUCACAUUCUUGAGUACGAAGAAUCUUGGCCAAAAGUAAUCAACAAAGGAUGAGAAGGCCAGGAUCAUUUCACACUGAACUUUGCUCCGGCUACUUUGGUUAAACAAAUUCAUCCCAGAGAAACCUUGUGAAGAUAGCAGCCUUGUUUUAGCUCUUUGAAUAGAGUGAAAAACAGAACAGAAGUUGAUCAAACCUGGCAUGGGGGCCCCACAUUAAUAAAACCAACUUGUCCAAGCAUCUGGUGACGCAGAGUAUUUGGCAGCCUCAGAGGUAGAGACAGUCAUCGCAUCACAACCAAUUUAUGGGUCGAUUACAAAUUUAGAGACAGAAAAAUAUAUUUUCGUUUUAAUGAAAUCAUUCACCUCAGGAUCGAACUGCAAUUCUUAAUACACAUCAAUGAUUCUGGAUGAUUGAAUUUUAGUGCAUCCCCACCUGCAAAGUUACUGAUACACCUGAAACCUUCUUACUCUACCCAAUAUAAGCUUUUACAGAAAUAAUCAAUUUAUAAUAAAUUUACAUGGAGAAGUGAGGAUCCUCAGCUAGUUUCACCUCCAUGACCAUGACUCAUCAGCUCACCCAAAGUAAUCAUGGAAAACGGUUUUGACAAUGGUGGCCACUGUGCCAACUCAGCCUUGUAAACAGUACCAUAUCCUCCAGUGACAAUACACUGUUUUGAACUGAAAUUGUCAGUCCCCUGUAUGAUGUGUUCAUACAACAAUUCCCCAUCAAGGCCCCAUAUUGCAAAUAGAUCUUCAACAUCUUCUUCGGUCGACUUGAUGUUUCUCUUCCUCAAUUGUUUGAAAAGAAAACAAAUGCCAAUAAAAGCAAAUAAGAUCAACAGAGUUCAAGAUUAUGCAUCUUUCCAAUUUUGUCGGGAAUGCUAUCCGCAAAUCUAUUCUCGCUCAAGCUCAAGGAUGAUAAUUUCCAGAAUCUUCCCAGCUGUUUGGGAAUUGGAAUGCUUAAGUUGUUUGAUGCCAAGUCAAGGGUUUCAAGAUAGGAUAAGUUUCCCAAUUCCAAAGGAAUACUUCCUGAAAGAUCGACUGUUGUUGCCUAGCAACAAUUUGAACAAUAAGGGCAACAUACCCGAUUCUUUUCGGAUCUUCCCACUUAGAUGAUUGGUAGAGAGAUCAAGUUGUUGCAGUCGAAUUACUUUCCCAAGUUGAGGUGGUAUAGCACCAGAAAUAUUAUUGUUGGAGAUGUUCAGGCUUGUGAGCAUGUGGCACUGCCCCCAUUUCUCAGAAAGCUCACCAUAAAAAUUGUUACUGCUUAGAUCAAUAUAAUUUAGGUUCAGGUAUACACCAAAACUUUUAGCCAUGUCUCCGAUAAGUUGGUUUCUUUCAAGCUAAUCUCUGAAUAAGCUAUGCAGUUUUUCAAGCUCUUUGGAAUAGGACUGUUGAAAUGGUUUCCAAAGGCAGAAAAGUUUUCAAGAACACUACCAUGACAUAUCUCUUGUGGUAGUUAGCCAAUGAAGUUAUUCUCAACUGACUACAAAGAUUUCAAAUAAGUGAUACUAUUCAUUUCUUGAGGAAUGGCACCACUGAAUCUGUUGUAAUGAAGUACCAAAAAGGUUCAGCCGGACAAGUUUCCUAUGGAAGCUGGUAUUGAACCAUUGAGAUUGUUAAAUGAUAAGUGAAGAUCAUCAAGCAAUCUCAACCAUCCAAUUUCUUGAGUGAUGGAACCAAAAAGCUUGUUCUUAAAAAGAGGCAAAAUGGUUAAGUUCCUCAAGUUAUGCAUGGAAAGAGGGAUCAAGCCAAUGAGAUUCUUAGUUGACAAUGCAAGAAUAUUAAGAGAUUGCAACAAUUCAAUUUCUUAAGGGAUGGAACUAAAAAGAUCAUUCUCAAAAAGAUGCAAAGUGGCUAAGUUCCUCAAGUUUCCUAUAGGUGGGGGAUUGGACCAAUGAGAUUGUUAGCCGACAAAUUAAGAACAUUAAGAGAUCUUAACAAUCCAAUUUCUUGGGGGAUGGAACUAGAAAGCUCAUUCUAAAAAAGAUGCAAAGUAUCUAAGUUCCUCAAGUUUCCUAUAGGUGGAGGAAUCAAACCAAUGAGAUUGUUAGCUGACAAAUCAAGAACAUUAAAAGAUCUUAACAAUCCAAUUUCUUGAGAGAUGGUUCCAUAGAGGUAGUUGUUAUAAAGAUUAAGAGCACAGAGAUUGGGGAGUGUUGUGAACUUGACAUUGUGGAGUGUACCACUCAAACCACAAUUGUCAAGGUCUAAAUUGGAGAUACUUCCUGACUCGUGACAAAUCAUUUUGGACUAAUGAUGGCAAGAAUUGCAUCUAGACUAAGAAAAGAGGAAAGACUGGGUUUGAUCCUCAAGACUAGCCUUCCAUUUUAGAAAAGCAAGUGCUUCCUAAUUUUGUUCAAUAUUCAAAAGAGAAGUGGUAGGUGCAGAAGCAAAUGUAAAAAUGACAUGGAAUGAUGGUAUUGAAUACACAAUGAAAAUGAGAAAUAUGAUGAAGCAAGUAAUGAUGAUGAAUUGGCGGAGUGAGGAAUAGGAUGAAGAAUAUUCAAGGGCCAUUGUUGAAUCGGUAGAAAUGAAGUUAUUAGGGGGUUUAGUUGGAGUGAAUGAUGAAAAUGAAACACUUAUUUCUAGACUUAAAUGUGAUGCAUCCAACAUUUCCAUUAGUUGGUGUUGACAUCCAACUACCUUCUUAUCAUCUACAUUAAAUUGAAUUGGAAAGGAUUAUAUAUAUGAGCUAAAUUUCAAACAUAUUUUAUUUUAUUUUGUCAAAAUGAUCUUAGUUUUUUAAUUAAAAUUUACACUUGCAAUUACAUAUAAAAUAAUUAAAAAUAUUCAUUUUUCACUCUAUGUACUUUUUAAAUAUAACCUGUUUAAAAAUAACAAUUCUAGACCAAAUAUGCCCACCUCAACAACCUAGUUGAUACCGAAAUUUCACUUGAUCAACCAACAUUACUUGUACAUAUGCCUUUAUAUAAACCACCUAAUAUGUUUGUUUUUUUUGUCAAAAAUAAAUAUUGACUUCAAUGGGAGCAAUACAUAAAAAAUUUGCCAUGAAUAUUUUUUUUUUUUUUGGUAGGCUUACAUUCUGUAUAAGAUAAAUAUAUUUUUUAUUUUGUAUCAAGAAAUUGAAAAAAAAAUGAUUUAUUUGUUACUCAUCAAACAAUUGAGAUGGAAUCACAUCUCAUUAAUUCUUCAUGAAGAUUUGGCUUGUAAGAGUUUGAUAUUUAAUUAUAAAUAUGUAAUAUUUACUAAGUUGAUUACAUUUUUUCUUUGAUUUGGUUUAGGCUUAUAAAAUUAUUAGUUCUCAAAUAUCUUAUUUUAAUUAUAUUAUAUAAGAAUAUGUAUAAUUAUUAUUUUCACAAUAUUUUUAAAUUACAAAUUUUUAGAAUUUUUAGUAUGCUAACAAAUGUUAAUAGUUUGAAAUAUUUGAAAAUAUGUUCAUUACCAUUUUUUUUGGUCAAAUUAUUAGCCUUCAAAUAUUUUUAUCUUAAUUUUAUAAAAUAAAAUCAAAUAUAAUAAUUGUUUUAAUACAAACAAAGAUAUUUAAUUACUAAUUUUUAGUCUUAGCUUGUAAAAAGCUUAACACUUAAGAACAUUUAGGUAAAUAAAUACGUCAUUCAAAAUUACACAUCUAGCUAUUGCAUAAAUAAAGUGUUAACAUUCAUAUUAAAAAAAAAAUGUUACCUAAGAGUGUGUAAUAACUAUGAUAUUAUAGCAGAACACAAAAACAAAUUUCUACUCUAAGUAGAAUUUAUAUGAAAACUUCAUUUAUUUUUCAGAUUGUAUUCAAGUAAGGAUAUGUUGUGAAUUAAUUAACAACUAAAAAAAAUUGUAUGUAUUGUUUAUUAUUAUUAUUAUUAUUAAAAGAGAUUUCUUACUUCUCAAUUAAAAUUAGAGAUGUAGAUAUGAACAUAAAAUGCUCUUUUUAAUUGAAUGUGUUUUUAAUCAAAACUUUUGUUGUCUUCAAUAGAGCGGAAAAGUCAUUGCUUUACUAGUUUUUAUCAAUAAUUGUUUUCAAGGAAUCUAGACCCAAUAUUUAUAUUAUCAAUGGUAGGCAUUAGUGAUCCUAGUUGAUGUGAGUGGUCUAAUCAAAAUGAAGUAUAUAUGAGCUUCAUGUAUUAAAUCUUACUAUUAAAAUAAAAAGAAACUAUUGAAUCCAUUGUAUUAAGGUUAAGUAAUAGCUAUAAGAAUAGUGGAACCUAUAUUAAUUUUUCUCCUUUUAAAAAGUGAAAUUUGUAUUGGAACUUCAUCUAUGUUAAGGCAUAGCACAAAUGAAGGGACAUGCUUUCAUGUAGAAAUAAAAUAGAAUUUCAUUUUCUAAAUAGAGCUAUUUUACCAUUAUUGUAAAUAAUUUCUUUUACUUCUUCCUUCUCAUGAUUCAAGAUUCGAGAACUCAAAGAUAUUUGCUUCACAAUAUUUCCCAUCCAAACAUUCCAAAAAUUCUUCAUGAACAAUUGGCUUGUAAGAGAUUGAUAUAUAUAUAUAUAUAUAUAUAUAUAUAUAUAUAUAUAUAUAUACUUUUUCUUUAAUUUGGUUUAGGUUUCUAAAAUCAUUAUUUAUCAAAUAUCUCAUUUUAAUUAUAUCAAAUAAAAAUAUAUAAUUAUUAUUUCUUAAGAUAGUACUAUUAAAUUACUAUUCUUUCAAAAUUCUAUUAUGGUAACAAAUGUUAAAAAAAAAUAUUACUAUUUUUUUUCAAACUAUUAGUCUUGAAAUAUUUAAUUUGUUUUAAUUAUAUAAAAAGAACAAAUAUGAUAAUUAUUUUUGUAUAGACAAUGAUAUUUAAUUAGUAAUUUUUAGAUAUUCUUAACAUGUAAAAAGAAGAAGACUUAACAUUUAAGAAUAUUUUGAUACCACUUUAAACAAAUAUAUUAUUCAAAGUUAUACAUCUAGCUCUAUUAGAUUUAAGUUAAAUAAAGUUAUAGUCAAAAUUCAUGUUAAAAAACAAUUGUUACCUAAGAGUAAUUCCUAUGAAAUUGUAGCAGAACUCCAAAAAAAGGAAAAAAAAAAUCCUUUAAGUAGAAUUUAUAUGAAAACUUCAUUGAUUUAAGUGUGCAUUAAAAAAAUGAGUUGUGUUGAAUUAAUUAAUAAACUUAAAAAAUUAUUUGUUAUGUUUUAUUAGUAUUAAAAAAAGAUGUCUUACUUGUCAAUUAAAAUUACAUAUUUAGAUAUGUAUAUAGAAUUCUUUUUCCAAUUGUAAGUUCUUAGUCAAGAGUUUUGUUGUCUUUGACAGAGUGGAAAAUUUGUUGCAUUCCUAAUUCAUAUCAACAAUUGUGUGGAAAAAUCGUUGCAUUCUUAAUUCUUAUCUACAGUUAUUAGUCAAGACUUUUAUUGUCUUUAAUAGGGUGGAAAAGUUGUUGCAUUUGUAAUUCAUAUCAACAACUGUGUGGAAAAGUCACUUUAUUCUUAAUUCUUGUCAACAGUUGUGUGGAAAAGUUGUUGUAUUACUAAUUCUUAUCAAUAAUUGUGUGGAAAAAUUGUUACAUUAAUAAUUCUUAUCUACAAUUCUAAGUUCUUAGUAAAGACUUUUGUUGUCUUUGAUAGGGUGGAAAAGUUGUUGCAUUACUAAUUCAUAUCAAAAAUCGUGUGGAAAAGUCGUUGCAUUCUUAAUUCUUGUCAACAGUUGUAUGGAAAAGUUGUUGCAUUACUAAUUCUUAUCGAUAAUUGCAUGGAAAAAUUGUUGCAUUACUAAUUCUUAUCAACAAUUGUUUUCAGAAUUUAUACCCAAUAUUCACAUUAUCAAUAGUAGAAGUCAAUGAUUCUAAUUGAUGUGAGUAGUCUAAUCAAAGUGAAGUAUAUACGAACUUCAUUUAUUAAAUCUUAGUAUUAACAUAAAAAGUAACAAUGGAAUCCAUUGCAUCAAGGCUUGAGGAAUAACAAUAAUAAUAUUGGGGAUCUAAAGUAAUUUUCUUUACAAGAGUCAAAGAACUCGGAGAGACUUGCUUUACAAUGUUAAACAAAGGUGCAUUUAUUUAAAAGUGGCUUGUGCUUUUUACACUAAGUAUUAAGAUAAAGGACAUGUUCAAAAUGUAAAUUAUGUUAUUUCAUUCUCUUUUUUUUUUCAAGUAAUAUUGCAUUAUUUUAAUUUAAUUUUCAAGUUAAUUAAGUAGAAAAAUUAGAUCAUGAGUUGGACAUAAUGACAAUAAUUUUUUCCUAUUCAUAGAUUUAACAAUAAAAAAAGGGGUUUUAUUUUUUUCAAAUACAUCUAUAAGAGAAUUUAUACUAUGUUUUUCUUAUAGAUAUGAAGGAAAUGAAAACAAAAAAUAAAAUAAAAUUCCAUCAUUGAAUGUACUACCCAAUUCAAUUUAGAAAAUUUAUUUUUGAAUAUUUGUCGUUUAGUUUACAAAUCUUAAAGAAAUAAAUAAAAGAUGGCUAAACAUUCAAGGCAAGAAAAAUUGAUCCAUUCAAUUACCCAUGGAAAUGAUAAUUGGCCAUGUUUAAUGGGUUUUGAAGUCUUAGUGAAACUUGAUGUAAUACUUCAACUACCAAAGAUAAUAAAUAAAUUUAUAAUAUUGACUAAGAGCUUAUUUGGAAAGUAUGGCUGAAAAUGAUUUUAAAUUCUUAUAGAGUAUGCCUUAUUAAAAAUUAAUAAUUUGAAAAAAGUAUUAAAGUUAGAAAAUGAUUCAUAAUGUUUCUUAAAUAAACACUUGAUAAAUAUUUUUUUUAAAUAUUUAAAAAAUUAUGAAAAAAUUAGAAUUUCCAAUAAAUGUUUAUGUUAAGAAGGUACAUUUUUCUAGAAUUUUUAUUAAAAACACUUUCAAACAUACCUAUAUCCCUUUUUGUUUGGAGUAUAACCUAUGAAAACACAUUUUUCAACUCUAGGAUCAAGUUAGAUCAAAAUUUGUUGGGUAUGUGAACAAAUACCAUGCAACCCAAAACUUGUAAAGAGAAAUUAGAUUAUAUUCUAGAUUCUAGAAAUUUUUGGGGUGCUCCAAAGGUGUGAUAUAUUUUAAAACUUAGGUAGGCAUCCUAUUAAUUAAAUAGGAUAUUGUUCAAACAACUUCUCCCGAUAAAUAGUUUGGAACAUGCAUAAAAAAACAUUAUGGCAUGGACCACUUCAAGUAAAUGUUUUUUUUUUCUCUAAACAACUCCAUUUUGUUAAAGAAUAUCAUGACAUGUAGAUUGAUGUUGGAUAUUUUUUUCUUUUUAAAAAAUUUUCAAGCAUUUAUUAAAAUUUUCAUUCUAUUAUUAAAGUCAAGUAGACUGAUUUUUAUUUGAAAGUGAUUUUUAAUUUAUUGUAAAAAUCUUUGAACAACUUUUCCACUUCAAAUAUUUAAUAGGUGUGAUCAUUUAUAAAAGUCACAAACCCGUUUUUUCCUAGAUAAAAUGGUAACCUUUAAAGGACUCCAAACAUCACUAUGAAUCAAAUCAAAUAAUUUCGAAGCAUCAUAAGGUUUCGAGAUAUAAGUAGCACGAUGAAUUUUGAUAAACGACAACUCUCACAUUCUAAUAUAAUAAUGUUUAUAAAUACAUAUAUACAACAUUGUACGAUUUAUUUUUCUGUUUUCAUUUUUUUUCACCACACGAGACUAGAAACCAAGGGAGAAUAAGUCGGUGUCACAAGCGAUGUGGCCGUUACAAGAGAAGAAAUCGUUCCCCGGGAAAAGAGCAGGGCGGUUGGUUUGUACCUACCUCCCGGGAAGUAAAACGCGUCGUUUUGGGCUUGGGCUUUUAAAGUAAAGGGCUAAAACCACUGUUAGAAACUGGACCUGGCCCAGUUUGAGUAAGCAGAGGCAUCUUACUCUUUUCUUUUGCUACAUAAAUAAUUACUUCCAUGCUAAUCCAUUUUAAAAUUGCUUUGAUUCAAAACAAAAAUAAUUUUAAUAUUUAAAAAAUAUUUUAAUUAAAUAAAAAUAUUUGCAUGGACAAAGUAUUGGUCUCUUUAUUCAUUUAUUUUUUCAAUAUCUUAAAUACCUAAAUAUUUUAAAAUAUUAAUUUUUACCGUUAAUUUUUACAUUUGAAAUAUAUACUCCCAAAAACAAUAAUACUUUUUUUUUUGGGUAAUAAAAUUGGAUUCCUGUUUUUUAUUUUGCAAAGUUAUUUUCCUUUAUUGUUUUUUUCCUUUUUUUAAAGUUUAUGAUUUUUGUUAUAAAAAUUAUUACUAAUAAAAAUUCAUCUAGUAUAUGAUGUUAAUUCAUUGAGAUGACGUAUUAACAUAGACGGUAGUAUGGUAGGAUAAAAUAAAGUUUUUAACGUUAUUAGAUUUAUUGCAAAAGGUAAGCACAACAUUUAUAUAUUGAACUUAAAACAUAAAUACGCUAAAAGUAUAAUGCACUAUGACAAGCCUUAAUUUUACUUUUUAAAAAUUAUAAAACAAAUAUUUUAUUGUACUAUUUUCUUAAUAGUUAUAUUACAAAAUUAAAUAUUUUAAAAUUUAUGAAAUCUAUAUAAUAAAAAUUAUAAUAGCUUUAUAUUUUUAAUUAUCAAAAUGAAACAAUAAUUUGUAAAUUUAAUAUAUUAUAUAUUAUAUUAUUAUUAUUAUUACUAUUAUUUUGGAUAAGUUAUUGAUAAUUUUUUAAAAUAAUAAUUAAUAAAAUUGUAAUUUAUAAUAAAUUUUUAUAUUAUAUAUAUGGAUUAGUAUUAAUAUUAUUCUUUUUAGAUAGGUUAUUAAUAAUAAUAAUAAUAAUAAUAAUAAUUAAAAAAGAAAAAGAGAAAAUAGAGAAAAGACAAGGGAGGGAUACGUUUGAUUUUAAAGUGAAAAGUAUGAGGGUAUACUUAACUUUUUGUAUUUUGUGUCACGUGGAAGACUUAUUAAAGUUGGUGACCCAUUUGGGACAUUAUCACCCAUAACUCAUCCUAUAUGGAAAUUUUCCUUAAAAUGUUUUACUAAUGGGCAGAAAAUCCCUCCUCAAAGCACAUGAGGAUAUUUAUGAACUAUUUGAAUGGAAAUUGGAGUUAAAAUCAACUAUAAGAGUGACUUAGUUUAGUGGAAUAUAUAGUUAGAAGAUAAAUCUCACUCAACUAUCUCUUUACCUAUAAGACAAAACUCAUUGCCUUGUAUAGUGGGAUAAAAAAGCAAAUAAAUGGGUUCUUUUUAGUAAAAAAUGUGUUCCAUGAUCAUAUCACAAAUUUAAGUUAAAUAAAAACUAAAAAUUUCUAAAUAAAUUUUUUAUUAAAAUGAUUUCUCAAUGGUGAAGUAAAUUAAUCUUACAUAUUUUUGUACCCCAAUUUUUUUAUUUAUUUUUUAUUUUUAUUAAAAUAGGUGGAGGUGUUUAACAAUUCUCCUUUUCAAAUCCUAGUCCUAAACCUAAUUCUAAUCAUUAUUAUUUCUCGUUUCUUUUCUUUCCUUUCCUUCAAUUCUAUUAUAUUUAAGUACUUAAAUUAAAUCAUUAACUCAAUUUAUCAAAUUCAUCAUAAGGAUCAUGUAAAAAUCUUUUAAACCACUUAGUGGAUCCACUCGUCCAUUAUUCAUGAUUGAUUGAUCAAUGUAAAGAUUACAAUACCAUUUAUAUGUAAUUUAGAGACUCUCCCCCUAGAUUUAUACAUAUGAAUUGCUAUUAGAAAAAGAAAAAAAAAAUUCAGCUCAGAAACUGGGACAAGGGGUAAUAGAAACUCAUCAAUGCUUAUAGCUAGUGCAUAAUUAGAAUGAAGAGGACACUAUUAAAUAGAGCAGGUUGUCCUUUUUGUUCAAUUAAUCGAUUAUUCUAGUUGGGAAAUAUACCAAACAUGGGUUCUUGAAUUAAAUUAUUGUACAAAAUGUCUCAAAAGAAAAUGUUACUUGACUUGUUUUAUAUACAUUUGUUUGCAAUUGAUUAAUUUGUACUAAUAAUUAAGUGUUAUUUCUUUAGAGCUCUUGUUUAUUUUUUAAAAAAUAAAAAAUAGUAGCAAUUUCUACAUAAAAUAAGAGAAAUAUUAAUAUAGUGUUUUUUUAAAAUUGAUUAAAUAAAUUAAAAUAUUAAAAAAUUAUUAUAUCAAAUUUUAAAAUUUUUGAAAAAGAUUUUUUAAGAAUAUAUAGUAAGUUUAUACCUUUUAUAUAAAAAUUUCUAUUUUUUACCAAAAAAAAAAGUUAUAUUUAAAAAAAAUAGGAAAUGUAUAGAAAUGAAACAUAAAUGCUUAAAUAAGAUUUAUCGAAUAAUGACAUUUUACUUAAACCAAUAAAAAAACAAUUCAAAUAUUAGUUGUCUAUUGAAACAAUUGUUUUCAUCAAACCCUUCACAACCCAAUUAGUAUAUGAAAUGGAAUAGGCACAUAUAACAAGAAUCUUCUCAAGAAAUUCAAUCUUUGUUAGAUUUAGAAACAAUAUCGCAAAUCCACUAAAAUGUUCCAUCAUGUAUCAUAGAACAAAUUUAAAAAAUAAAUAUAUUAAUAAUCCAUGAAAAAUCCACAUACAUGCUCAUAUGCACCUCGAAAAUGGAUAAAUUUAAUUCCCAAAAUAGGGAAAAUUAGGAUUAUGUGUAAAAGAUAAAAAAAAAUAUUUUUAAAAAUAUGACUAACUUUUCAUAUUUUUAAUCUAAAAGGAUAAAAACAUAUUUUAUUUCAUAUGAAGAAACUCUUCACUCAAAAUUACACUUACCAUUUUCACUACCUCUGACUCGACCUCUUCACCUUCCACCGUCUCUGUGGUAAAUUACAGGUGUAUGACAUUUGCUGUUGAAAAUGCUUUUAUCGCUACUUGUAAACAAAACCAUCAAUGUCUUAAGCUUAAGUUGAAUUUGCUCUUUCUCAUGCAAGGUGUUUUGCUGUUAGUUACCAUAUCAAGUUACAUAUGAUGUAUAGAGGUCGUUUAGAGAUAAGCAAGGCACUAAGAAAAAUGUACCUGGAGCGGUAUAACCAAAGGUUCCUGCAAAUGAAGUCCAAUUAGAUGAGUCUGACUUUAAAAGCCUAGCCUUGCUGAAGUCAGAUACAUGAGCUUCAUAUUCUAAAUCUAACAAAACAUUGUUGCUCGAUAUUCAUCUGCUCUUUGGAUCAUGUUCUCCUUGAGUUACUUGUUUCUUCUUAACAAAAAAAUAUGGUUUGUCACCCAUUUCAGAAGGGAAUAAAUAAGAAAAACUAAUAGCUCAUGCUAAUAAGCAUCCAAAAAAAGAAGUGAUUUCAACAGUUUGGGAAUUAUCACUCUCUCAAAAGCCUAUGAAAAAAAUGUAAAGAUACAUGUUAGGGUCCUAAAAAAGGUGCAGACACAUGAACGAAAAACCUAAUUGCAUCCAAAAAAAAGGAGUCGCAUCUGCCUUCUUGGAUCUCCCCAGCCCCAAGCACACGUCCAAAACGGUGACUGUCACAAGAAUGAAGGUUACAAGAAAUCCAUAGCCUGUCUUCCACCCCAAGCCUGCUUCUGCCAUGCAAAGUCCAAUCACAAAAUUCAGAGCUUCCAAGAAGAGAGCAAGUGUCCCUACCAAAUGAUGUUACCAGUUCCAGUAAUUGCGCUGUUCGGCUGUCUUGUCCGGCCUUAGAAUCAAUGCCAUUACCUGAGAAGAAGAAAACUUAGUUUUCAGCAUGCUUGAAGAAAUAUAUUUAGUUAAUGUCGAGUGAAGGCCCAGGCAGAGUGAAAACAAACCUGAAGAAUGCUAAGGAAAAACACCAAGGAUCCGAUGGGUCUGUGAAUCUUGGAUUUGGAAAUGCGAUGAGACUCCAGUCCAUUGUAGAGUGUCCUUCCUGCAACGACAGUAGCAAGACCCGGAAGAAAACCCACAAUCUGGAUCGAGAUAUGAAGAUAAAACCAUUGAGGAUCAUGAUGCUUGAAGUAUCUUGGGAUGAUUGCCCCAAAUGGAAGGAGCAUGCCCCAUGCAAUUAGGCCAAUGGCUCCAUGACGCGUUGUCAAACCUCUAGUGUUAUCGACACCAGAGGUAUAACCUGUGAGACACAGAACAGAAAGUUUGCAUAUCAGGCUUAAAAGAUUUUUAUUUGAAGCUCCCACUUUAUUUUCCUACAUAUAACUAUAUAAGCCCCCACGUCUAGAAUGUAAAAUCCUCUGUUCUCUGUUCAAAUUUCAGCUUUGCAAAUCUUGUAUUCAAUUCAAUCCUCGUCUUUUUAUGGCCUCAUAAAUUCUAAACCUUGUCUGGGUUUUCCAGUUUUGUGAAAAAUUACAUCGGGGAGCCAGCAGGAUGGGAUUAGACUCGAUGUUAGAGACAAAACUUUGGAAAAAUCUGCAAAACCCUCAACAGUUGUGGCCAUAUCUCAAGACCAAGAUGAGAAUUUACAAUAUAAUCGUGAUGAAUACUUCAUAGACUGCUCUACAAAACUAGAGUUCGUCCGAAUGCCUAUCCUUUCUUGAAAAGACAUGAAGGUCCUCACAUUCUCGAGCAGGAAGACCCUUGGCCGAAAGUAAUCAGCAAAGGAUAAAAACACCAGGAUCAUUUCACACUGAACACUUUAGUACUCCAGCUACUCUGGUUAAACGGAUUCAUCCCAGAGAAACCCUGUGAAGAUAGCAGCCUUGUUUUAGCUCUUAGAAUAGAGCAAAAAACAGAGCAUAAGCUGAUCAAACCUGGCAUGGAGUCCCCCCAAUUAAUAAAAUCAACUUGUCCAAGCAUCCAGUGACGUGGAUUAUUUGGCAGCCUCAGAAGUAGAGACACAGUCAUCGGCAUCCCCACACUUCUCCACGACAACCCUGCAUCACAACCAAUUUAUGGGUCAAUUACAAAUUGAGAGAGAGAAAAAGAGAUUUUCAUCUUAAUGAAAUCAUUCACCUCAGGCAUUGCAAUAGUUAAUAAACAUCAGUGAUUCUGGAUGAUAACAAAUAUCAUGGAGAAGUGGGGACCCUCAACUAGUUUCGCCUCCAAGACCAUGGCCAAGCAAUUCACCCAAGACAAUCAUGGAAAACGGUCUUGACAAUGGUGGCCAUUGUGUCGAAAGUGUUCAAGCAAUUUGUUGCAUAGUUGGCCGAGAUUGGGGUUUAACAUGCAAACAUGCAAACGUUAACUUCACUGCAAGUGCUACUUCCUCAGCCACUUGAUUCACAGGAGGUGAUGGGUGUUGGUCCAUCACAUCAUUCAGCAGUAUGUAGUCUACGGUUGAUAUUGAUGAGGAUGAGGAAGCUGAUGAUGACAACCAUGAGAUGAGUUCACCAGGAUGUCUUCCCAUAAUUACUUCCAAUGUUACCACUCCAAAGCUAUAGACAUCAGUUUUAUUAUCCACCUUCAUCGUGUAAGCAAGUUCUGUAAAGAAGAUUUGAUCAUGCUUUGUUCCGCUAAGCAAUUAUAACAGUUUUAUAUAUGAUGUAUAGAGGAAGUUUAGAGGUAAGCAAAGGCACUAAGCAAAUUGUACCUGGAGCAGUAUAACCAAAAGUUCCUGCAAAUGAAUUCCAAUUAGAUGAGUCCAACUUCAAAAGCCUAGCCGUGCCCAAGUCAGAUACAUGAGCUUCAUAUUCUGAAUCUAACAAAACAUUGUUGCUCGAUAUGUCUCAAUGAAUUAUAGGAGGUGAGCAAUCAUGGUGCAUAUAGGAUAAAGCUUUAGCCACACCUUUAACAACAUUCAGCCUCACAAUCCAAUCUAAUUUUUCUGCUUCUUGGUCGUUGCUUAGAAUGUUUCUCAAGCUCCCUUUUUCCAUAAACUCAUAAACCAAAAACGAGUUCUCUGCAAAUGAACUGAAGCCAUAAAGCUUGAUGAUAUUGUGAUGCCUUAUUUGUGUUAAAGCAUGAAUCUCGCUUUUGAAAGCUUUCAAAUGAGCCAUAUCUCCAUCUUCUGAUGAGUGAAGUUUUUUCACAGCAACAACAACCCGACCUGUUGGCAACUCAGCCUUGUAAACAGUACCAUAUCCUCCAGUGCCAAUACACCGUCUCGAACUGAAAUUGUCAGUCCCCUGUAUGAUGUGCUCAUACAACAAUUACCCAUCAUGGCCCCAUAUUGCACAUAAAUCUUCAACAUUUGCUUCUGGAAACUUGGUUUUUCUCUUCCUCAAUUUUUGGAAAAGAAAAUAAAUGCCAAUAAUAAAAGCAAAUAAGAACAAUAGAGUGCUCACAAGGAGGAGUAUUAUGAUCAAAACAGAAAACUUGUUGGCCUUCUUUCGACUAGCAAUGCAUAGCUUGAGAUGAGUGACAUUAUUACCACACAGACUCUUAUUAUUUUUGAAUGCCUCAAAUGGAGCGAAGGCUUUGACGUUGGGGAGAGGACCUUUCAACUGAUUGUAGGAUAUAUCAACAACUGUCAGGCUUAUCAGAUGGUCAAACGUGUGUGGGAUGGUGCCAGAGAGCCUGUUAUGGAAGAGAUUCAACGUUUCCAGGUACUGUAAUUCUCCAAGCAGCGGUGGUAUCUCUCCAGUCAACAUAUUUUGACUAAGAUCAAGACUCUCAAGAUGAUGCAUCUUUCCAAUUUCGUUGGGAAUGCUAUUCACAAAUCUAUUCUUGCUCAAGUUCAAGGACAAUAAUUUC
rnacentral:lncRNA from 1 species